rnacentral:rRNA from 1 species
CAAGUCGAGCGGUAACAUUUCUAGCUUGCUAGAAGAUGACGAGCGGCGGACGGGUGAGUAAUGCUUGGGAACAUGCCUUUAGGUGGGGGACAACAGUUGGAAACGACUGCUAAUACCGCAUGAUGUCUACGGACCAAAGUGGGGGACCUUCGGGCCUCACGCCUAAAGAUUGGCCCAAGUGGGAUUAGCUAGUUGGUGAGGUAAUGGCUCACCAAGGCGACGAUCCCUAGCUGGUUUGAGAGGAUGAUCACCCACACUGGGACUGAGACACGGCCCAGACUCCUACGGGAGGCAGCAGUGGGGAAUAUUGCACAAUGGGCGCAAGCCUGAUGCACCCAUGCCGCGUGUGUGAAGAAGGCCUUCGGGUUGUAAAGCACUUUCAGUCAGGAGGAAAGGGUGUGUUUUAAUAGAGCGCAUCUGUGACGUUACUGACAGAAGAAGCACCGGCUAACUCCGUGCCAGCAGCCGCGGUAAUACGGAGGGUGCGAGCGUUAAUCGGAAUUACUGGGCGUAAAGCGUACGCAGGCGGUUUGUUAAGCGAGAUGUGAAAGCCCCGGGCUCAACCUGGGAACUGCAUUUCGAACUGGCAAACUAGAGUGUGAUAGAGG